rnacentral:tRNA from 1 species
GCCUGGGUGGCUCAGUCGGUUGGGCAUCCGACUUCGGCUCAGGUCAUCUUGUGGUCCGUGGGUUCGAGCCCCACGUCAGGCU